rnacentral:rRNA from 1 species
GACGAACGCUGGCGGCGUGCUUAGCACGUGCAAGUCGAGCGGGAAACCUUCGGGUUUCUAGCGGCGGACGGGUGAGUAACACGUGGGUAACCUGCCUCAAAGAGGGGGAUAGCCUUCCGAAAGGAAGAUUAAUACCGCAUAAUAUUACAGUUUCGCAUGAAGCAGUAAUUAAAGGAGUAAUCCGCUUUGAGAUGGACCCGCGGCGCAUUAGCUAGUUGGAGAGGUAACGGCUCACCAAGGCAACGAUGCGUAGCCGACCUGAGAGGGUGAUCGGCCACAUUGGAACUGAGACACGGUCCAGACUCCUACGGGAGGCAGCAGUGGGGAAUAUUGCACAAUGGGCGAAAGCCUGAUGCAGCAACGCCGCGUGAGUGAUGAAGGUCUUCGGAUUGUAAAGCUCAGUCUUUUGGGACGAUAAUGACGGUACCAAAGGAGGAAGCCACGGCUAACUACGUGCCAGCCGCCGCGGUAA